rnacentral:rRNA from 1 species
GACGAACGCUGGCGGCGUGCUUAACACAUGCAAGUCGAACGAGAGCGUAGAGAAAGCUUGCUUUUUCUACAAUCUAGUGGCAAACGGGUGAGUAACGCGUAAACAACCUGCCCUACGGAUGGGGACAACAGCUGGAAACGGCUGCUAAUACCGAAUACGUUCCGAAAGUCGCAUGACUAUCGGAAGAAAGGAUGGCCUCUAUUUUUAAGCUAUCGCCGGAGGAGGGGUUUGCGUCUGAUUAGCUAGUUGGAGGGGUAACGGCCCACCAAGGCGACGAUCAGUAGCCGGUCUGAGAGGAUGAACGGCCACAUUGGAACUGAGACACGGUCCAGACUCCUACGGGAGGCAGCAGUGGGGAAUCUUCCGCAAUGGGCGAAAGCCUGACGGAGCAACGCCGCGUGAGUGAAGACGGCCUUCGGGUUGUAAAGCUCUGUUAUACGGGACGAAUAAUCUUGUGGUUAAUACCCAUGAGAAGUGACGGUACCGUAAGAGAAAGCCACGGCUAACUACGUG